rnacentral:rRNA from 1 species
CCAAUAGCGUAUAUUAAAGUUGUUGCAGUUAAAAAGCUCGUAGUUGAAUUUCGGGAUCAAUAUGUUGGUCGUGCCUCGGUACGUACUAGCAUAUUGGUUUCUCCUUUCUGAAGAACCAUGAUGUCAUUUAUUUUGGUGUCGUGGGGAAUCAGGACUGUUACUUUGAAAAAAUUAGAGUGUUUAAAGCAGGCUCACGCUUGAAUACAUUAGCAUGGAAUAAUGCAAUAGGACGUUUGAUUCUAUUUUGUUGGUUUCUAGGAUCGACGUAAUGAUUAAUAGGGAUAGUUGGGGGCAUUAGUAUUCAAUUGUCAGAGGUGAAAUUCUUGGAUUUAUUGAAGACUAACUACUGCGAAAGCAUUUGCCAAGGAUGUUUUCAUUGAUCAAGAACGAAAGUUAGGGGAUCGAAGACGAUCAGAUACCGUCGUAGUCUUAACCAUAAACUAUGCCGACUAGGGAUCGGAUGAUGUUAAUUUUUUAAUGACUCAUUCGGCGCCUUACG